rnacentral:rRNA from 1 species
GACGAACGCUGGCGGCGUGCUUAACACAUGCAAGUCGAACGGAGAGGCCCUGCUUUUGUGGGGUGCUCGAGUGGCGAACGGGUGAGUAACACGUGAGUAACCUGCCCUUGACUUUGGGAUAACUUCAGGAAACUGGGGCUAAUACCGGAUAGGAGCUCCUGCUGCAUGGUGGGGGUUGGAAAGUUUCGGCGGUUGGGGAUGGACUCGCGGCUUAUCAGCUUGUUGGUGGGGUAGUGGCUUACCAAGGCUUUGACGGGUAGCCGGCCUGAGAGGGUGACCGGCAACAUGGGGACGGAGAUACGGCCAAGACUCCUACGGGAGGAAGCAGUGGGGAAUAUUGCACAAGGGGCGGAAGCCUGAUGCAGCAAGGCCGGGGGCGGAAGGACGGCCUUCGGGUUGUAAACCGCUUUGGCCUGGGACGAAGCGGGAGGGAGGGUAAUGGGGAAAGAAGAACGGGCUAAUUACGU